UGGCAUCAGCCAGUGUCCUCUCAUGAGGAAGAAUCAAUUUGCAAGGUAUUGAGUAAGUCCUUGGGCUCUGCGGAGGAGAGGUGACCACCCAUGAAAACAACUGACAUGAAAAGAACGCAAGAAUCACAUGUGUCCCUCCAGUCUGAAUAUAGACCAGCACAACUUGGGACUUGGACAACAAAAGCCUUGGACCACAAGGACUUCAGAUACCUGGAAAAACAUGGGGAGAGCAUGGGGCCAGCUGCUAGGCUGUCUUCUCUGAGAUUCUGACACAAUUAUAGUUCUGUUACAAAAAUUAGGAAAAUACUGAAAAAUCUAUAGGAUUGUUCUUCUAAGCAGCCAACCUUCUGCAGAAGGAAAUGGUGGCAAGUUCAGUGGGAAACGACAGAGCUCUCAGUCCCAGAGUUUCAAAGAUCACAAACUCCCUCUAAGGACUUGAGAAACAAAGAAAACCCUGUGACAGAGAAUAUUCUUCCUCAUUCAUCAUUUGAAAUCCUGCCUCUAAAAGUGUUAAGAACAAGUUAUUUUCAAUAUGAGUUAGCCCCAGGGGAUUUGAUAAAAGGCACUUUUCUUUUCCAGCUGGCUAAUCAAAAAAGUGGGCUGCAGAAGACUUUAGUGACUUGGAAGGCAGUUCUGAGACUCCCCCAGACUCAGCAAACUUUCCUGAUCCAAGGAACCAAAAAACAAAGAUGUGUCACAGGCCUGACUGAAUAUGGGAGCUGA
rnacentral:lncRNA from 1 species